AUGGACCACGCGUACGCUCCGGUUCUGAGCACGCCGCCCGCACUCCCCUCAUGACCUCUCGCUACGUUUUUGUUAGCC
rnacentral:sRNA from 2 species